GAUGAACGCUAGCUACAGGCUUAAUACAUGCAAGUCGAGGGGCAGCAUUGGAGUAGCAAUACUUCAGAUGGCGACCGGCGCACGGGUGAGUAACACGUAUUCAACCUGCCGCUUACUCGGGGAUAGCCUUUCGAAGGAAAGAUUACUACCCGAUGGUAUAAAGAGUUCGCAUGUUCUCUUUAUUAAAGAAUUUCGGUCAGCGAUGGGGAUGGGUUCCAUUAGAUAGUUGGCCGGGUAACGGCCCACCAAGUCUACGAUGGAUAGGGGUUCUGGGAGGAAGGUUCCUCACCUUGGAACUGAGACACGGUCCAAACUCCUACGGGAGGGAGCAGUGAGGAAUAUUGGUCAAUGGACGAUAGUCUGAACCAGCCAAGUAGCGUGAAGGAGGACUGCCCUAUGGGUUGUAAACUUCUUUUAUAAGGGAAUAAAGUGAGGGACGUGUCCCUUUUUGUAUGUACCUUAUGAAUAAGGAUCGGCUAACUCCGUGCCAGCCGCCGCGGUAAGAC
rnacentral:rRNA from 1 species